CAACUAGUUACCACGUUACUUCACUUAUAAGGAUUCGUAUAUAUUCCUUAUCAGAUCAUUAUCUAGCAUAUUGAAGUCCUAAUCUUCUGAACUCCCUCAAGUGGUGCUACAUUGAGGUGAAUUUUAUAUAUAGGGAACCAAAAUUCCUCUUUCUCUUCGUAUAUUCAUUGCAUGUCUUAUAUUAAUUAGAUCUAUAGUAAUUUUUUUCCUACAUGCUCAACGGACUUAUAUGGAGGAUCAAUUGGUGUAGUAACUGAUUACUAAAAGCAUCUACAUCAAAUUGUUUGAGCUCGGAUGCAAGAUUUUGGACGAAACGACGUUUGAUUUUGUACGAGCAUGAGCCGCAAGAAAGGUACAGAGAUCCGUGAUCUGCCAGUGUAGGCCACACGUUCUGCUAUUACGGAGCGCUCCUUUGAUCCGGAGCCCAUAUGUCGGUACAUAUCUUUUGUGAUGUAUAUGUAUCUGUAUAUUUGACUAUUUUGGGGUACGACGGGGCCCUGUCCCGUCAUACGUUUUCGUUCUGUAUUUGUAGAGGCCUGUAGUCAUAUCUGUCGGUCGAGGGUCCUAUAUGUGUCCGCUUUGGUUACGAUUUGCGUCUUAACGCGGUCCGUUUGAUAUGGUGGCCAAGAACGACCCUUAUGUUUGUAUCUGUACUUAUGAUUGGCGACGUAUAUUCCGCCGACCUAUCAGAUUUGGAUACGGCCAAAUGGCCUGUAUAUUUGUAUGUGUGCAUAUGUACGGCGAUGUGUAUUUCGCCGCUCCUUUUUGUUCUGAUAUGAUAUUUGGGUAUGCACGACCGCUUAAGACAAGUUUUGAUUUAAAUCAUGUUUGAAAUAAUUAUUAUGAAAUCUGAGCUAUGUUUGGAUAUGAUGACUGGAUAUGUAAGUCUGUCUGGGUGCCCAAGUAGGGUGCCAGUCGCGGCCCACGGGGCUGGGUCUUGACAAAAGUGGUAUCAGAGCGGUUUGUCUUCGGAAUGUCUACAGGCCGUGUCUCGUAGAGUCUUGUUUAUCGGUGUGUUGUGCACCGCAUCUAUAAACAGGAGGCUACAGGGCAUUUAGGGUGUUCCCUUUCCUUGGAUCUUAGAUCGUGCGAUAGAGCCAGCUGGAGGAAACGAAUUUCUUUUUUUAACCCUUGAUUGCAGCUGGAGAGCGGUAUCGACGUAAGACAGCGACUGCUGACAAUGGAAGCUACACGGUACUCAGGUAAGCAAUGGUAUGAAAGAAGUAUGUUGGGUAAGGUAUUCUGAAGUACGAUUAAAACAUAAAGUCGAACAUUGAAAAGAGAAAUAAACAUGAAA